GACGAACGCUGGCGGCAUGCCUAAUACAUGCAAGUCGAGCGAACAGAUGAAGUGCUUGCACUUCUGACGUUAGUGGCGAACGGGUGAGUAACACGUGGGUAACCUGCCCAUAAGAGGGGGAUAACAUCCGGAAACGGGUGCUAAUACCGCAUAGGUUUCUUGGUCGCAUGAUCGAGAAAGGAAAGACGGCCUUUGUGCUGUCGCUUAUGGAUGGACCCGCGGCGUAUUAGUUAGUUGGUGAGGUAACGGCGCACCAAGACGAUGAUACGUAGCCGACCUGGGAGGGUGAUCGGCCACAUUGGGACUGAGACACGGCCCAAACUCCUACGGGAGGCAGCAGUAGGGAAUCUUCCGCAAUGGACGAAAGUCUGACGGAGCAACGCCGCGUGAGUGAAGAAGGUUUUCGGAUCGUAAAACUCUGUUGUCAGAGAAGAACAAGUCGGAGAGUAACUGCUCCGGCCUUGACGGUAUCUGACCAGAAAGCCACGGCUAACUACGUGCCAGCCGCCGCCGUAA
rnacentral:rRNA from 1 species